UUGCCUUAAACUAAUGAGUAAGGAAAACAAAGCGAACGGUGGGAGCCGGUCGCAGCACUCAUUCUGAGGUGCAAGAAUUUAUGGAGGGGUUAUAGGCUGGCCAUGUGUUGACGCUGCUUACUUUGCAGAACUCGCGUGUGCGGGCCUCCC